GACGGAGGAAGCAAGCGUUGCUCGGAAUCACUGGGCGUAAAGGGCGUGUAGGCGGGACAGCAAGUCGGGUGUGAAAGCCCUGGGCUCAACCCAGGAAGUGCAUCCGAAACUACUGUUCUUGAGUAUGACAGAGGAGAGCGGAAUUCCCGGUGUAGCGGUGAAAUGCGUAGAUAUCGGGAAGAACACCUGUGGCGAAGGCGGCUCUCUGGAUCACCACUGACGCUGAGACGCGAAAGCUAGGGGAGCAAACGGG
rnacentral:misc_RNA from 1 species